rnacentral:rRNA from 1 species
UACGUAGGGGCCGAGCGUUGUCCGGAGUUAUUGGGCGUAAAGCGCGCGCAGGCGGCUUCGCGCGUCCGACGUGAAAGCCCCCGGCUUAACCGGGGAGGGUCGUUGGGUACGGCGGAGCUUGAGGGCGGGAGAGGGUGGUGGAAUUCCCGGUGUAGUGGUGAAAUGCGUAGAGAUCGGGAGGAACACCGGUGGCGAAGGCGGGUCUCUGGGCCGAUACUGACGCUGAGGAGCGAAAGCGUGGGGAGCGAACAGG